UACGUAGGGAGCAAGCGUUGUCCGGAAUCAUUGGGCGUAAAGCGCGCGUAGGCGGCCCGAUAAGUCCGUUGUGAAAGUCAAAGGCUCAACCUUUGAAUGCCGAUGGAUACUGUCGGGCUAGAGUCCGGAAGAGGCGAGUGGAAUUCCUGGUGUAGCGGUGGAAUGCGCAGAUAUCAGGAGGAACACCAAUAGCGAAGGCAGCUCGCUGGGACGGUACUGACGCUAAGGCGCGAAAGCGUGGGGAUCAAACAGG
rnacentral:rRNA from 1 species